rnacentral:rRNA from 1 species
AUGAACGCUGGCGGCGUGCCUAAUACAUGCAAGUCGAGCGAACAGACGAGGAGCUUGCUCCUCUGACGUUAGCGGCGGACGGGUGAGUAACACGUGGAUAACCUACCUAUAAGCCUGGGAUAACUUCGGGAAACCGGAGCUAAUACCGGAUAAUAUAUUGAACCGCAUGGUUCAAUAGUGAAAGACGGUUUUGCUGUCACUUAUAGAUGGAUCCGCGCCGCAUUAGCUAGUUGGUAAGGUAACGGCUUACCAAGGCAACGAUGCGUAGCCGACCUGAGAGGGUGAUCGGCCACACUGGAACUGAGACACGGUCCAGACUCCUACGGGAGGCAGCAGUAGGGAAUCUUCCGCAAUGGGCGAAAGCUUGACGGAGCAACGCCGCGUGAGUGAUGAAGGUCUUCGGAUCGUAAAACUCUGUUAUUAGGGAAGAACAAAUGUGUAAGUAACUAUGCACGUCUUGACGGUACCUAAUCAGAAAGCCACGGCUAACUACGUG